rnacentral:rRNA from 1 species
UACGUAGGGGGCAAGCGUUUGUCCGGAAUCAUUGGGCGUAAAGAGCGUGUAGGCGGCUCGGUAAGUCCGCUCUGAAAGCCCGGGGGCUCAACCCCGGGAGGCGGGCGGAUACUGUCGGGCUAGAGUCCGGAAGAGGCGAGUGGAAUUCCUGGUGUAGCGGUGAAAUGCGCAGAUAUCAGGAGGAACACCAAUGGCGAAGGCAGCUCGCUGGGACGGUACUGACGCUGAGACGCGAAAGCGUGGGGAGCAAACAGG